AUUGAACGCUGGCGGCAGGCCUAACACAUGCAAGUCGAACGAGUGGCGGACGGGUGAGUAAUGUCUGGGAAACUGCCCGAUGGAGGGGGAUAACUACUGGAAACGGUAGCUAAUACCGCAUACCAUCGGAUGUGCCCAGAUGGGAUUAGCUAGUAGGUGGGGUAACGGCUCACCUAGGCGACGAUCCCUAGCUGGUCUGAGAGGAUGACCAUCCCCACUGGAACUGAGACACGGUCCAGCCUCCUACGGUAGGCAGCAUUGGGUAAUAUUGUCCGAUGGGCGCAAGCCUGAUGCAGCCAUGCCGCGUGUAUGACGACGGCCUUUGGGUUUUAAAGUACUUUCAGCGAGGAGGCGUUACUCGCAGAAGAAGCACCGGCUAACUCCGUGCCAGCCGCCGCGGUAAUUC
rnacentral:rRNA from 1 species